AUGUGUUUACUUUCAUGCCAUUUCACUUAUUAUUCAAUGCAUCCUCAAGAUAAUUCAAGACCUAAUCAAGUUUUCUUCAAGGUAUGCUUAUUCCAUCAUCAUUUUGGCUUGGUAUGCAAUGAAAAUUCAAGUUUGCAGAACUUGGCACAAGUUUGGUUGACCUAAUUUUGCAAGUAUGGCUCACUUUUGGUCCAAAGUCCAUAACUUAUUAAAUUUUCAACCAAUUGACAAGCUUCUUUGAGCCAAAUUCUCAUAAUGAGUCC
rnacentral:lncRNA from 1 species